rnacentral:rRNA from 1 species
UACAGAGGUCUCGAGCGUUGUUCGGAUUCAUUGGGCGUAAAGGGCGCGUAGGCGGCGGGGUAAGUCUGGUGUGAAAUCUAGGAGCUCAACUCCUAAACUGCACUGGAUACUGCUCUGCUAGAGGACUGGAGAGGAGACUGGAAUUCACGGUGUAGCAGUGAAAUGCGUAGAUAUCGUGAGGAAGACCAGUGGCGAAGGCGGGUCUCUGGACAGUUCCUGACGCUGAGGCGCGAAGGCCAGGGGAGCAGACGGG